rnacentral:rRNA from 1 species
AUACGUAGGGGGCGAGCGUUGUCCGGAAUGAUUGGGCGUAAAGGGCGCGUAGGCGGCGCGGUAAGUCUGGAGUGAAAGUCCUGCUUUCAAGGUGGGAAUUGCUUUGGAUACUGCCGCGCUUGAGUGCAGGAGAGGGUAUCGGAAUUCCCGGUGUAGCGGUGAAAUGCGUAGAGAUCGGGAGGAACACCAGUGGCGAAGGCGGGUAACUGGACUGCAACUGACGCUGAGGCGCGAAAGUGUGGGGAGCAAACAGGAUUAGAUACCCUGGUAGUCCACACUGUAAACGAUGAAUGCUAGGUGUAAGAGGUAUCGACCCCUUUUGUGCCGGAGUCAACACAAUAAGCAUUCCGCCUGGGGAGUACGGCCGCAAGGUUGAAACUCAAAUGAAUUGACGGGG